GUUUAAUAGACCACCCAUAAUAGUAGACCCAAGGUUGCCAAAGUGCUGCUAAAUGAUUUGACUACUUACUGAGGGAGCACGCCAAGCACGACUGGCACCAGAAUCACUACAGCAGAAGUAGUGGUUAUGGUGCUUAGUGCAAUCCUUUCAAGAAAUUCCUUUUUAUUUUGAUAUUUCAUAUUUCAUAUAAGUCCAACAGAUCAAAAUGUAUUUUCCCGUAGAGAAGGAGUUGAGU